CCGCGGCCAGCCGGACGCCCGCGGCGGCGAGGGCGGCGGCGGUGCGCGGGGAGGGGCAGUGCCACUUCUCGUUGAGUUCGACGGCCACGCCGCGGGC
rnacentral:tRNA from 1 species